CCAUGGUUUAUCGUGGCCAGGGCCAGAAAGUGCAGAAGGUGAUGGUACAGCCCAUCAACCUCAUCUUCAGAUACUUGGGAAACACAUCACGGAUUCAGGUGUGGCUUUAUGAGCAAGUGAAUAUGCAAAUAGAGGGCUGUAUCAUUGGCUUUGAUGAGUAUAUGAACCUUGUAUUAGAUGAUGCAGAAGAGAUUCAUUCUAAAACAAAGUCAAGAAAACAAGUGGGUCGGAUCAUGCUGAAAGGAGAUAAUAUUACCCUGCUGCAACUAGAAAUGAUCAAUGAAGUAAGAAAUUGUUGAGAGAACAAUAUCGU